GUCCUCGCUAUAUGUCUCUCUCUGGACAUACCCAAGACCAAGCAUCUCUUUCUGUUUACAACUUUACACCGACCUCCGUUGUUACACCCAAAUCGUUGAUCACAAUCGUGCCACUACCGAUUCUUCCAUGUCUUCCACUGCUGUAUAAGUGACAUUAAAAGAGUUUGACUCUAUCAAAGUUCAAACACUGAGAUGCAAAGGAGGAGACCACGAAUCAAUUUGUGUUUGUUUUGGAAAAGGUUUAAAACAGAACAGCAGCUAAAGUGCCAAAGCUCCAGAGUUUAAACUCAAGGGGAAACGUUCUAGACUGUUAGAGAGGUACAGUUAAGAGUUUGGAAGACAGGUUGUGCUAUUUAGACUUUUGUUGUGCUAUCUACAACAACUCAGCUGAAAUUUCAAAGGAGCUAUCAUCUGUUGCAAAUGAUGAAUCCGACUUUGUAGACACAUUUGAGGAGCUUAUGUAAAAUAGUUGGUCGCCACUACAAGCCUAAACCAUUUGUCAAGCCUAACCAUGUUUGCAAUAUGUACAUAAACACCUACUAUGGAUAGCAUAUCUAACUUCGAAAUCUUAAACCAUUUGUCAAGCCUAACCAUGUUUGCAAUAUGUACAUAAACACCUACUAUGGAUAGCAUAUCUAACUUCGAAAUCUGGCUAAGUUACUAGAUUUUUGAACGUGUAAAAUAAUAUAUAAGAUAUAAUGUAGUAAUGUAAUAUAAACAAAUGUUACUAAAUUCAGUAGCAUUGAAUCGAACGACAUUGAUCAUGUUCCCGCAGCAUC